ensembl:lncRNA
UGUGGUGCAUUGCUGUCCUCCUGCCCUUGCUGGCCAAGCUGACAUUGUGAUGUAGCCUCAGUUCUUUGAGAGACAAGACAAAACAGCAGGGAAUAAUUUUAUGUCUGCAAGCCGCUGGAUGAUCAGUUUGGAGGGCAAGAUAUUUUAUGAGCCUGAGCAGAUGCACGACUUUGGCAGCACCCUUGCUGUCUUCUUUGCGUCAUACUACGUUUUCAACCUUGAGUAUCAGGAGUCAGCGUCCAUCACACUGGAGAUGAUACAGAGGUUCUUUGUGAGGAUCCAGACAUGGGAACAAAAUGCCCUGCAAAACUUGGUACAAGCCGCAAGACAGGUCGUGUCGUAAAGAGGAAGGUUACAAGCAUCAGCCCUCGGAUCACCACCUUCCUCCAGCGGCUCUCUGGAGGACUUCCAACUAGAUGAGCAUUUGCAAAGGCCAAAUGAGCUUUUGCAUGCCUUAGAAGUGCCUGGAGAAGUGGCGUUUUCCUUGGUCUGCAUCCGUGGAACCCAGCAGUGUCCGUUGGACUGUCUGCCUUGAGACAUUGCCACCAGCAGAGCCCAGAUUCACCAGAAUGGCCUUGGUGGUGAUCCUUGGAUUCUUUUUCACCUCUCUCACUAUUCUCCUGGCCAGCACAGGUUUCACUUUUGGCUUCCGACAACGUCCUCUGAGAUUUUCCACAGUGCGGAACAUCUUGUAUGUUUUAAUAAUACUUUGCACUGUAGCCACUGGAACUUGAAAACAUUUGGAUAUGGCCUUGUAGCCCAUUCCUCACUUGUGAGCAGCCACAAUGCACAGCUGCAGGUCCUCACUGAGUUCCUUUGUCUUAGCCAUGAC